CGGAGAGCAACAUUCUGACCUUGAAAUCCGCCGAUAACAACGAAUUUCAGGUGGAAGCAUCGAUCGCCGUUCAAUCUACAGCUAUCAAAAACAUGGUAGAGGACGGUUACACAGACAUUCCGCUAGUGAACAUUAGUAGCGAAGUCCUUAUCAAAAUUCUCGAUUACCUGAAAAAGCACGCGGAGAAUUCCGGUUGUAGCGAAGAAGAACUGAACGAAUUUGACAAUGAAUUCGUUAAGAUGAGUAUCAAAAAAAUGUCUCUGUUUGUAUACGCUGCUAG
rnacentral:misc_RNA from 1 species